CGCGUAGGCGGCCAGAAAAGUCGGAUGUGAAAUUCCGGGGCUCAACCCCGGAGCUGCAUUUGAAACUCUCUGGCUAGAGUACAGUUAGGGUAAACGGAAUUCCACGUGUAGCGGUGAAAUGCGUAGAUAUGUGGAAGAACACCGGUGGUGAAGACGGUUUACUGGGCUGAAACUGACGCUGAGGCGCGAAAGCAUGGGGAGCAAAACA
rnacentral:rRNA from 1 species